GUCUAUGGCCAUACCACCCUGAAUGUACCUGGUCUCGUCUGAUCUCAGAAGCUAAGCAGGGUUGGGCCUGGUUAGUACUUGGAUGGGAGAACUGUUCUCUGGUUUUGUCUUCC
rnacentral:rRNA from 1 species